rnacentral:rRNA from 1 species
UACGUAGGGUGCGAGCGUUAAUCGGAAUUACUGGGCGUAAAGCGUGCGCAGGCGGUGAUGUAAGACAGAUGUGAAAUCCCCGGGCUCAACCUGGGAACUGCAUUUGUGACUGGCGGGCUAGAGUAUGGCAGAGGGGGGUAGAAUUCCACGUGUAGCAGUGAAAUGCGUAGAGAUGUGGAGGAAUACCGAUGGCGAAGGCAGCCCCCUGGGCCAAUACUGACGCUCAUGCACGAAAGCGUGGGGAGCAAACAGG